AAAUAAAGUAAGGACUUUCUGUCAUUCAUGAGUGUCAGGACUUCUUGUUGUUAAUAAAGAAUUCCUAAUUCUUCAGAAUUUAUAAUGUUGUGUAAUUCUGUUUUUUAAUGCGCAUUGUUAGGUAAUAAUUCUGAUGGAAUUGAAAACCGGAAUGGCACUGCAAGUGCCCUCUUGCACAUAGAUGAGUCUGCUGGCCUUGGCAGACUGGCUAAACAGAAACCAAAGAAAAAGAGAAGACCUGAUUCCAGGCAGUACCAAACAGCAAUAAUUAUUGGCCCUGAUGGUCAUCCUUUGACUGUCUAUCCUUGCAUGAUUUGUGGGAAGAAGUUUAAGUCGAGGGGUUUUUUGAAAAGACACAUGAAAAACCAUCCUGAACACCUUGCCAAGAAGAAGUACCACUGUACUGACUGUGAUUACACUACCAAUAAGAAGAUAAGUUUACAUAACCACCUGGAGAGCCACAAGCUGACCAGCAAGGCAGAGAAGGCCAUUGAAUGUGAUGAGUGUGGGAAGCAUUUUUCUCAUGCAGGGGCUUUGUUUACUCACAAAAUGGUGCAUAAGGAAAAAGGGGCCAACAAAAUGCACAAGUGUAAAUUCUGUGAAUAUGAGACAGCUGAACAGGGGUUAUUGAAUCGCCACCUCUUGGCAGUCCACAGCAAGAACUUUCCUCAUAUUUGUGUGGAGUGUGGUAAAGGUUUCCGACACCCGUCGGAACUCAAAAAGCACAUGCGAAUCCAUACCGGCGAGAAGCCAUACCAAUGCCAGUACUGUGAAUAUAGGUCUGCAGACUCUUCUAACUUGAA
rnacentral:sRNA from 1 species